UAGAGUUUCGAUCCUGGCGUCAGGAUGAACGCUGGCGGCGUGCCUAACACAUGCAAGUCGAACGGACUCGGAUUGAAACCUAGUGAUUUCCGAGUUAGUGGCGGACGGGUGAGUAACGCGUGGAUAACCUGCCGUAUGCAGGGGGAUAACAGUUGGAAACAGCUGCUAAUACCGCAUAAGCGCACAAUACCGCAUGGUACUGUGUGAAAAGAUUUAUCGGCAUACGAUGGAUCCGCGUCCGAUUAGCCAGUUGGCGGGGUAACGGCCCACCAAAGCGACGAUCGGUAGCCGGCCUGAGAGGGUGGACGGCCACAUUGGGACUGAGACACGGCCCAAACUCCUACGGGAGGUAGCAGUGGGGAAUAUUGCACAAUGGGGGAAACCCUGAUGCAGCGACGCCGCGUGAGUGAAGAAGUAUCUCGGUAUGUAAAGCUCUAUCAGCAGGGAAGAAAAUGACGGUACCUGACUAAGAAGCCCCGGCUAACUACGUG
rnacentral:rRNA from 1 species